GGACAUGAGGGUGAUCUGGCUGCAACAUCCAUCACCCCAUUGACCUCCAGGGUUGAUCUGGCUGCUCUGUGUGCCGAGGCAGGUGCCCUCUUUCCCUCCCCACUGCUCUAUGUGUGUGUCCCUCGCAAAGCUGCAUGCUCCAUUGAAGAGGAUGACCAUCCCUGAUAGAGGAGGACUGUUUUUUGGUCAAGCUGCAAUCCCCUGCUAGAACCUCCAAACAAGCUUUCAGUGAGCUGUAGCUUAAUGAUUCACCUUUGCAGAUUCCCCAACACAUCUAAUUGGUGUUCAGAUAAGGUAUAUGUAGGGUAGGGUUCAGGAAACUACCUUUU
rnacentral:snRNA from 1 species